GAAAUGCGAUAAGUAAUGUGAAUUGCAGAAUUCAGUGAAUCAUCGAAUCUUUGAACGCACCUUGCGCUCCUUGGUAUUCCUUGGAGCAUGCCUGUUUGAGUAUCAUGAAAUCUUCAAAGUAAAUCUUUUGUUAACUCAAUUGGUUUCUACUUUGGUAUUGGAGGUCUUUGCAGCUUCACACCCGCUCCUCUUUGUUCAUUAGCUGGAUCUCAGUGUUAUGCUUGGUUCCACUCGGCGUGAUAAGUUAUCUAUCGCUGAGGACACUGUAGAAGGUGGCCAAGGUAAAUGCAGAUGAACCGCUUCUAAUAGUCCAUUGACUUGGACAAUACUUUUAUGAUCUGAUCUCAAAUCAGGUAGGACUACCCGCUGAACUUAAGC
rnacentral:misc_RNA from 1 species